GUUAAAAAGCUCGUAGUUGGAUCAGAGUUCCACAGUGCACGGCGGCCCUGGUUGUCGAGGUGGAUCCGUUCACCGAGACGCCAGUGGAUCAACCCUGUGCGCCAAACUGUCGACUCUAACAGACCGAAACGGUUCCCUGUGAGUAGGCUCCUUAAUUGGGGCUGAAAGCGACUACGCAUCAACCAUAUGCAUACGGGACGUCGGUCAAUGUUACUGUGAACAAACCAGCGUGUCCAAAGCAGGCUUUCGCCUGAAUGUUCGAGCAUGGAAUAACAAGGGAUCGAUUCUCUCGGUUCUUUUUGUUGGUUUUUAACCCGAGAAGAGUAAUUCAGGCCACGGUGUCUGAGUUGGGUAUCCCUUCAUUUCGGUGGAGGCCCCAAUUAGGCCCGUGUCCUUACGGGAUCAAUAGGGACUGACGGGGUCGCACGUACUUCCACGUCAGAGGUGAAAUUCUUAGAUCGUGGGAAGACGAACUUCUGCGAAAGC
rnacentral:rRNA from 1 species